rnacentral:lncRNA from 1 species
CUUUCUUCUGAUGAGUGAACAGCCUCACCGGAACUUCCCCAUCCUCCUGGCUUGGUUCCUGAAGUGGCCCAAGGCUGCCUUCUCCCUCCCGUGGGUGAACAGGGUCACUGCUUCCUCUCUUGUCCAGGCCCCCUGGCCUGACCCUGAGUCCCGGGCGUAACGGCGUUGUUGAACCACCACAACCCCAGGCGGCGCCUUCCUCUUGGCCCAGGGGCUCUCUUGGGGACAGUGUGCAGUACUCCCCAAGGGGGCUUUGCUGUGCAAAAGCAGCCCCUGCCGAUGCUGCGGCUCCCGUGGAUGGAGCACUGCCGUGGGAACAGAGUUGGAACUCAUCCAAAAGAAUAAAAGACAACUGUGUUGGAAGAUUGCCAAGGUUUGUAGCUGUGCCACCGCAGACUUCAGAGAUGAACACUGCCUUGGAGACGAGGAGGAUUCAAGUUGCAGAAGCAUUUAGAAACCUCAAACUUGAGACACGGUGGGAAAUCAGGAAGACAUGAGGCUUUGCUCAACACUGGAGAACACCAGUUCUUUUCAGUUUGUAUGCAUCUUUAUCAGCAUGGCCAUGACGUGUGUAAGGCAUUUCCAAGGGUGAGAUUUCCUCUGAAAUGUCCAAAGAAGUCAACCGCAUUUCAAAAACUACCACAAACUAAAUUAAAAGGCAAAUAUCACAAUUUAUUCUCAUAUUAGGUUUUUGAGUGAAAGAUUGGAUUCUAAUCUCAGUUCUGCCAU